rnacentral:rRNA from 1 species
UACGAAGGGGGCUAGCGCUACUCGGGAUUACUGGGCGUAAAGCGCACGUAGGCGGACUUUUAAGUCGGGGGUGAAAUCCUGGAGCUCAACUCCAGAACUGCCUUCGAAACUGAAAGCCUUGAGUUCGGGAGAGGUGAGUGGAACUGCGAGUGUAGAGGUGAAAUUCGUAGAUAUUCGCAAGAACACCAGUGGCGAAGGCGGCUCACUGGCCCGAUACUGACGCUGAGGUGCGAAAGCGUGGGGAGCAAACUGG